AGAGUUUGAUCAUGGCUCAGGACGAACGCUGGCGGCACGCUUAACACAUGCAAGUCGAACGAGAGAAGAGGAGCUUGCUUUUCUGAUCUAGUGGCGGACGGGUGAGUAACACGUGAGCAAUCUGCCUUUCAGAGGGGGAUACCGAUUGGAAACGAUCGUUAAUACCGCAUAACAUAAGUGAACCGCAUGAUUUGAUUAUCAAAGAUUUAUCGCUGAAAGAUGAGCUCGCGUCUGAUUAGCUAGCUGGUAAGGUAACGGCUUACCAAGGCGACGAUCAGUAGCCGGACUGAGAGGUUGAUCGGCCACAUUGGGACUGAGACACGGCCCAGACUCCUACGGGAGGCAGCAGUGGGGAAUAUUGCACAAUGGAGGAAACUCUGAUGCAGCGAUGCCGCGUGAGGGAAGAAGGUUUUAGGAUUGUAAACCUCUGUCUUCAGGGACGAAAAAAGACGGUACCUGAGGAGGAAGCUCCAGCUAACUACGUGCCAGCAGCCGCGGUAAUACGUAGGGAGCGAGCGUUGUCCGGAAUUACUGGGUGUAAAGGGAGCGUAGGCGGGAUCGCAAGUCAGAUGUGAAAACUAUGGGCUUAACCCAUAAACUGCAUUUGAAACUGUGGUUCUUGAGUGAAGUAGAGGUAAGCGGAAUUCCUAGUGUAGCGGUGAAAUGCGUAGAUAUUAGGAGGAACAUCAGUGGCGAAGGCGGCUUACUGGGCUUUAACUGACGCUGAGGCUCGAAAGCGUGGGGAGCAAACAGGAUUAGAUACCCUGGUAGUCCACGCCGUAAACGAUGAUUACUAGGUGUGGGGGGACUGACCCCUUCCGUGCCGCAGCAAACGCAAUAAGUAAUCCACCUGGGGAGUACGACCGCAAGGUUGAAACUCAAAGGAAUUGACGGGGGCCCGCACAAGCAGUGGAGUAUGUGGAUUAAUUCGAAGCAACGCGAAGAACCUUACCAGGUCUUGACAUCGUAUGCAUAGCUCAGAGAUGAGUGAAAUCUCUUCGGAGACAUAUAGACAGGUGGUGUAUGGUUGUCGUCAGCUCGUGUCGUGAGAUGUUGGGUUAAGUCCCGCAACGAGCGCAACCCUUACUGUUAGUUGCUACGCAAGAGCACUCUAGCAGGACUGCCGUUGACAAAACGGAGGAAGGUGGGGAUGACGUCAAAUCAUCAUGCCCCUUAUGACCUGGGCCUCACACGUACUACAAUGGCUGUCAACAGAGGGAAGCAAAGCCGCGAGGUGGAGCGAACCCCUAAAAGCAGUCUUAGUUCGGAUUGUAGGCUGCAACCCGCCUACAUGAAGUCGGAAUUGCUAGUAAUCGCAGAUCAGCAUGCUGCGGUGAAUACGUUCCCGGGCCUUGUACACACCGCCCGUCACGCCAUGGGAGUCGGUAACACCCGAAGCCUGUAGUCUAACCGCAAGGAGGCAGCCGACCAAGGUGGGAUUGAUGACUGGGGUGAAGUCGUAACAAGGUA
rnacentral:rRNA from 1 species